rnacentral:rRNA from 1 species
CGGGACGGGUGAGUAACACGUGAGCAACCUGCCUUCGAGAGGGGAAUAACGGCUGGAAACGGUCGCUAAUACCGCAUAACAUACCGGGAGGACAUCCUGCUGGUAUCAAAGAUUUUAUCGCUCGAAGAUGGGCUCGCGUCCGAUUAGGUAGUUGGUGAGGUAACGGCUCACCAAGCCGACGAUCGGUAGCCGGACUGAGAGGUUGAACGGCCACAUUGGGACUGAGACACGGCUCAGACUCCUACGGGAGGCAGCAG